GUCCACGCCGUAAACGAUGGGUGCUAGGUGUCGCGGGCUUUGACCCCUGCGGUGCCGUAGCUAACGCAUUAAGCACCCCGCCUGGGGAGUACGGCCGCAAGGCUAAAACUCAAAGGAAUUGACGGGGGCCCGCACAAGCGGUGGAGCAUGUGGUUCAAUUCGACGCAACGCGCAGAACCUUACCUGGGCUAGAAAAUGCAGGAGCCUGGUCGAAAAGAUCGGGGUGCUCUUCGGAGAACCUGUAGUUAGGUGCUGCAUGGCUGUCGU
rnacentral:rRNA from 1 species